AGCUUGCUUGUUGAACUCUGUAUUUCCGUUAGUAAUAACUUUGUAUUUCUUGUCGGCAGCUCUGAUAAAUGGAACACACCAAACUAUCAGCCAUAUGACGCUUCAUCCGCACUUUGCCUGUGGGAAUCGAGUUCCUGGCCAAUCGCCAAACAAAAACUUUAAUUUUAGAAGGAACUUUAAACAUAUAGUAAAACGGGGAAAAAAAAUCUAAUAGCCUCGUUAAUUAUCUGCACUGUGCGACGGCCCAAAAAAUGCUUUUUUCUAAAAAGGAAGUUGAAACCCCCGGCCUCUACAUCAAACUGAUGCACAUAGCCAAAUUUUAUUAAUUUAUUAGCAAGCCUGACAAAAUGAAUACAACAAUAAAAAAAAAAUCCAAAGCCACCAAGCUAUUCCUACAAACCCGAUGAAAGGGUGGCCAUUCUCGGGGCCGCAUGCCCUGACCGCAUACAACAGCCUAACAUUUAAAUCCGGAGGCCACGAAGGCGCAACCGGUACAUCAAAAUGAAGCGAUCCUCCCCCUUGCAGGGUUCGAUCUCUGUGCUUACAGUGCUAGUCCCUGAAUGGACUCGCUAGCACACACAGUUUCAAGAUGUAAUAUCAAGAUACAAAGGUCAAAAGUAUAUUACAUCUCGUUGAUCCAGAAUUUAAUAGUACCUUACAUAUUGCAUAAUCUCAUGGGUUAGCUCAAAAGGAAAUAAAAUAUUGCAGCGGAAAACAGAAGGUGUAGGAGUCCCAUAACAACUCCACAAUC
rnacentral:lncRNA from 1 species